UGGUGAUCAGCAGCAGGUGAGGAACCACGGAGCCAGACCAGAUUUUGAGUGAAGAUUGUGAGAACUGGUAAAAAGCAGAGCAGAACAGGAGCGAUGGCUUUAUUCCCAAGAACUAUCACAGUUAAACCACGAGAAUCCUGGAUAAGUCUGAUGCCAACUGGUGGAAACGACAACGGACAGACCGGCAUCUUCCCCCACAAUUUCGUGACACCGGUCAACCUUUGAAAAGUAACCAUACCUGAUGAGAUGAAAUGAAAAGCAAAAGACAGAUAUCUUGAAUUUUGACACAGCAGUGGUACACCAUCACCCAGCGAGCCCAGCAGGCAGGUUUUCCACCAAUAGAACAUCAAGAAAAGAGGGUUAGGUGAGGGUCUUUUGUGUGGAUUAAUCAUACUGCUGAUUAAAUUUGGUGGCAAUCAUUUGUUGUAUUGAUGCACUGUUAUUUUGUAUGUAAAGCUACAAUUUUAUAUUCGUAUUUUCAAUGAAAAUAACUUAUUGCUUUUCAUAUUUUAAAACAAAUUAAAUGUCAAACAUCAAGUGGCGAGCACAACUUUUGUAUUUUUAAACUCAGUUGAUGUGUAUGUGAAAAUUGUACUGGAUGUAUUUGCUCCUUCUUGAAGCACAUCACUUCCCUUGAAAAUCCCAUGUUUAUAAAUGCUUUUUAAAAUAUGAAAUGUUGCAAUAAUCAUAGAGAAUUAGACUGGAUUUAAUUAAUUACAAACUAAUCAUGGAGAGGUUUUAUUUUUACUAAUCUUAAAAAAUAAUAAAAAAUAAUUUCCCUCAAUCUCACAUCUUGUAUGCGGCAUGUGGCAAGAAUUUAUGUGGUUUACAUAGAUGAUGAUUAACUGUGUGUUGCUCCACAGAAAAAGUGGUUUCAUAAAGCCAUGUUGGGACUGGAGAAAGACUAAUGGAGAGGAGAGAACAGUUGUGUGUGUGAUAUCUACAUUUGAAAUCACCAAUUUUCUAGGGGGGUGUUGAGUCACUUAGUAAUGACCUCAGCCCCGGUCAAUUGCUUAACCAACUUCAAAUGUAACAUGUGAUAUAAGGCGCCAAUGUCUUGCCUCAGUCAGAGCCGACAGUCUGAUAAUUCUUCAAAGCAAAUCAUGAGAUGAAAUAAUCUUUUCUAGUGUGAUUAAUUCACACACAUGGGUGAGACUCAUUUUAUUUCCAGUUGAUCUUCUGCACAAAUAUCUUACAUUAUUUCACAGCAGUGCAUAACUUUAUACGUGAUUGCAUG